CGCCUUGCCAGCCCGCUCAGAAACUUAAAGGAAUUAGACGGGGGCCCGCGACAAGCGGUGGAGCAUGUGGUUUAAUUCGAUGAUACGCGAGGAACCUUACCUGGGCUCAAAUGUAUGUUGACGUAUUCUGAAAGGGAUACUUCUUCGGACAAUAUACAAGGUGCUGCAUGGUUGUCGUCAGCUCGUGCCGUGAGGUGUCGGGUUAAGUCCCAUAACGAGCGCAACCCCUAUCAUUAGUUGCCAUCAGGUUAAGCUGGGGACUCUAAAGGAACUGCCUACGCAAGUAGUGAGGAAGGCGGGGAUGACGUCAAAUCAGCACGGCCCUUACGUCCAGGGCUACACACGUGCUACAAUGGCCGAUACAGAGGGCAGCUACCUGGUGACAGGAUGCAAAUCUCCAAAGUCGGUCUCAGUUCGGAUCGGAGUCUGCAACCCGACUCCGUGAAGUUGGAUUCGCUAGUAAUCGCGCAUCAGCCAUGGCGCGGUGAAUACGUUCCCGGGCCUU
rnacentral:rRNA from 1 species